rnacentral:rRNA from 1 species
GACGAACGCUGGCGGCGUGCUUAACACAUGCAAGUCGAACGAAGUGGCGAACGGGUGAGUAAUACGUGGGUAACCUGCCCUCCUUUUUGGGAUAAGCCUUGGAAACGGGGUCUAAUACCGAAUAAAGGGGGAUGGGCUCGCGGCCUAGCAGCUUGUUGGUGGGGGGAUUGCCUACCACGGCGGUGACGGGUAGCCGGACUGAGAGGGUGACUGGCCAUAUUGGGCCUGGGAUACGGCCCAGAGUCGUAGCGGAGGAGGAAGUGGGGGAUAUUGCACAAUGGGCAUAAGCCCUAUGCGGGGACGCCGCGUGGGGGAUGAAGGCGUUCGGGUUGUAAACCACAUUCGCUAUCGAUCAGGUAGGUGGAGAAGAAGCGCCGACUAACUACGUGCCAGCAGCCGCGGUAAUAC